AUACGGCUGACAAGUCCCAAAUAGAACGAAACGUUCGUCUUGAAU
rnacentral:hammerhead_ribozyme from 1 species